AAAUUGAAGAGUUUGAUCAUGGCUCAGAUUGAACGCUGGCGGCAGGCCUAACACAUGCAAGUCGAACGGUAACAGGAAGCAGCUUGCUGCUUUGCUGACGAGUGGCGGACGGGUGAGUAAUGUCUGGGAAACUGCCUGAUGGAGGGGGAUAACUACUGGAAACGGUGGCUAAUACCGCAUAACGUCGCAAGACCAAAGAGGGGGACCUUCGGGCCUCUUGCCAUCAGAUGUGCCCAGAUGGGAUUAGCUUGUUGGUGAGGUAACGGCUCACCAAGGCGACGAUCCCUAGCUGGUCUGAGAGGAUGACUAGCCACACUGGAACUGAGACACGGUCCAGACUCCUACGGGAGGCAGCAGUGGGGAAUAUUGCACAAUGGGCGCAAGCCUGAUGCAGCCAUGCCGCGUGUAUGAAGAAGGCC
rnacentral:rRNA from 1 species